rnacentral:rRNA from 1 species
AUACGUAGGGGGCGAGCGUUGUCCGGAAUUAUUGGGCGUAAAGGGUUCGCAGGCGGCCAAAUAAGUCAGAUGUGAAAUCCCACGGCUUAACCGUGGUAAGCAUUUGAAACUGUAUGGCUUGAGUUAAGGAGAGGAAAGUGGAAUUCCUAGUGUAGCGGUGAAAUGCGUAGAUAUUAGGAAGAAUACCAGUGGCGAAGGCGACUUUCUGGACUUAUACUGACGCUGAGGAACGAAAGCGUGGGGAGCAAACAGGAUUAGAUACCCUGGUAGUCCACGCCGUAAACGAUGAGUGCUAGGUGUCGGGUGUCAAAGCUCGGUGCCGGAGCUAACGCAUUAAGCACUCCGCCUGGGGAGUACGUACGCAAGUAUGAAACUCAAAUGAAUUGACGGGG